GCAAUACAGCCUCCCGCUAUAAAACACGGAAGUUUCACUUAUUCCCUUGCUUACAGUUAUCUCUACACCAGACAGCUCCUAAGUCUAAAGAAAACAGAGUAAAAUGGGCGGUACUCAAGUGAAAAUAAUGAAAUACCAACCUCAAAAUGGAGUGUGGAAAGAAUAUGAAAAAAUACUUGAUAAUUUUAAAGAUCAUGGAAACACUUUCAAUGCAGCUGUAGAUGGAAGUAAUCGUGGAGGUCAUUUUCACAGCACACUGGACGAAGCAAAGAGAUGUGCAAGAUCCAGAUCAGGAGCUUUUGCAAUCCGAUUCUUAGAAGGAAAUUGGAAAGAUGAAUAUGGUUGUUGUUAUUAGAUUAGAUGAUGAAGGGAGAAAAUAUGCUUGAUGUCAACAGAACCUUUACCACGACUUUGGACCACUCUGUGUGCUUUUUUAAUAGACAAAACAAGACAAUCAAAAAUGAUUUAAUUUUAUGAGGGGUCCUACAAUUCAGCUUUGAUGCAAUUGUACAAAUGUUAAAUACAAAACUUUAACAUUUAUGUAACAAUAAUUUCAUUAAAAGACCAUGCCAGCA